GAUGAACGCUGGCGGCGUGCCUAAUACAUGCAAGUCGAGCGAACAGACGAGGAGCUUGCUCCUCUGACGUUAGCGGCGGACGGGUGAGUAACACGUGGAUAACCUACCUAUAAUACUGGGAUAACUUCGGGAAACCGGAGCUAAUACCGGAUAAUAUAUUGAACCGCAUGGUUCAAUAGUGAAAGACGGUUUUGCUGUCACUUAUAGAUGGAUCCGCGCCGCAUUAGCUAGUUGGUAAGGUAACGGCUUACCAAGGCAACGAUGCGUAGCCGACCUGAGAGGGUGAUCGGCCACACUGGAUCUGAGACACGGUCCAGACUCCUACGGGAGGCAGCAGUGGGGAAUAUUCCGCAAUGGGCGAAAGCCUGACGGAGCAACGCCGCGUGAGUGAUGAAGGUCUUCGGAUCGUAAAACUCUGUUAUUAGGGAAGAACAAAUGUGUAAGUAACUAUGCACGUCUUGACGGUACCUAAUCAGAAAGCCACGGCUAACUACGUG
rnacentral:rRNA from 1 species